UUGAGUUUCCUUGCGGUGAUGUGCUGCAGGGCCACAGCCGGUCGACUGUCAUCCGCUGCCAGGGAGCAAGGGUGUCCCUUACGCCGGAGACCUUCAGGCCUCCGUUGGUGCUGCCAGCAGCAGCCUGGCAAGCUGCAGUUCUGAAGCUAUAAAAAUCAUUGACGUUGUCCGAAGGGAAAGAAAAAAAGAAAAAAAAAGGCCCAGGAAGACCUUGCAAAUGCGCUGAUAUCAAGCUCAUUCAUAUGACAUUGCAGAAAUGAUUACCAGUUUUCAGAAGAAGCAGUUAUUAAAGUAAUAUUUUAAAAGUACAACAAAAUGCAGCAUAAUCUAAGCCAAUUUAGCAAGUGUUUUCCCUUGCAGUCGAAAACCAGAAAUCAGCUGGAGCUAGUCACAACAUGCUGAGAUUGAUCUUGUCCUGAUUGUUACCCCUGGGAAGGUUGUUUGAGAUUUCGUUAGCCCAUGCGAGAAAGAGAGACCACAUUCAAGCGUAUUUCUUCAGCCAUUUUUCAUUCAGCUUGAGGUUUCUGCAACCUUUCACACUGUCUGAAGAUACAAGUACUGUUGCAAAGUACUCUUCUGGGGGUUGAAUAUGAAAGCACCAAUGAAAACUUAAGCUAUUGUAGUAUGUAGCUGGAUGCAAACACAGCAAUAUUCCUUUCUAGUAGCUUAUGACAGUAAUUUGUCAUUUGUACUAGCCUCUAACUUAUUUCCAAAUUCAGAAAAAAUAAUAAUAAAAAUUCCCCCAAAUUGCUCCUGAUUCUCAAUAAUGUAGGAAAAUCACAGCUAAAAUGUUUUUUUUCAUGAAAGCCACAUGGCUUUGGCUUUAGCUAUUUCCAUAUUCUUUAGCAUUUCAGAGUCAGUUUUGAUAUGAAAUAACAAGCUCCAAAUUUAAAGUCGAUGCAAAGCUCAUUAAAACCCAUAAAUUGAGAAUUUAUUCCAAAACCUGUUCUGAGAGUCUGCUUUUGAACUUUAGGGCAUGCCUCAAGGCUCUAUGCAGGGGCUUUUUCUUAAAUAUGAGAAAUUAAAGGGAUUGACUUUAACCUUCUUUCUGUAAAAUCUUAUCAGCCAAUUAAAUUAAUACUUUGUGAA